rnacentral:rRNA from 1 species
UGGGGAAUAUUGCACAAUGGGCGAAAGCCUGAUGCAGCAACGCCGCGUGAGUGAUGAAGGCCUUCGGGUUGUAAAGCUCUGUCUUUUGGGACGAUAAUGACGGUACCAAAGGAGGAAGCCACGGCUAACUACGUGCCAGCAGCCGCGGUAAUACGUAGGUGGCAAGCGUUGUCCGGAUUUACUGGGCGUAAAGGAUGCGUAGGCGGAUUUUUAAGUGAGAUGUGAAAUACCCGGGCUUAACUUGGGUGCUGCAUUUCAAACUGGGAAUCUAGAGUGCGGGAGAGGAGAAUGGAAUUCCUAGUGUAGCGGUGAAAUGCGUAGAGAUUAGGAAGAACACCAGUGGCGAAGGCGAUUCUCUGGACCGUAACUGACGCUGAGGCAUGAAAGCGUGGGUAGCAAACAGGAUUAGAUACCCUGGUAGUCCACGCCGUAAACGAUGAGUACUAGGUGUAGGAGGUAUCGACCCCUUCUGUGCCGCAGUUAACACAAUAAGUACUCCGCCUGGGAAGUACGAUCGCAAGAUUAAAAACUUAAAGGAAUUGAC